rnacentral:lncRNA from 1 species
AAUAUAUUUUUUUAACUUCUUGAAUUUUAGUAAUAAGGAGAUAAACUUGACUCAAUCUAAACUAAGGACGGACAAAGAUUUUUGAUACAGCUCUGAAACUUUCCACUGCUUUUAGAACAGAAGGUACAAACAGAUCAAGGCGGUGUACAUCUUCAAGUUCUGCGUUUUGUGAUGUGCAUGAAGCAAAAUGAGAAUGAAUUCCAGGGAUUGCAUAAGGGAAACGUGUAAGUAAAACACAUGAACAUAUGAACGUAUAAUUUAUGUUUAAAUAAGCCUUUCCAGCCAAACGAAUGUUUUCAUAGCAGGGUCAGAUAAAGACAAAGU